GACGAACGCUGGCGGCGUGCUUAACACAUGCAAGUCGAACGAUGAAGCCGGAGCUUGCUCUGGUGAAUUAGUGGCGAACGGGUGAGUAAUACGUGAGUAACCUGCCCUUGACUCUGGGAUAACUGCGGGAAACUGUAGCUAAUACCGGAUACGACCCUCGGAGGCAUCUCCUGGGGGUGGAAAGAAUUUCGGUCAAGGAUGGACUCGCGGCCUAGCAGCUAGUUGGUGAGGUAAAGGCUCACCAAGGCGACGGCGGUUAGCCGGCCUGAGGGGGUGAACGGCCACACUGGGACUGAGACACGGCCCAGACUCCUACGGGAGGCAGCAGUGGGGAAUAUUGCACAAUGGGCGCAAGCCUGAUGCAUCAACGCCGCGUGAGGGAGGAAGGCCUUCGGGUUGUAAACCUCUUUCACCGAUGAAGAUAAUGACGGUAGUCGGAGAAGAAGCCCCGGCUAACUUCGUGCCAGCAGCCGCCGUAA
rnacentral:rRNA from 1 species